rnacentral:rRNA from 1 species
GACGAACGCUGGCGGCGCGCUUAACACAUGCAAGUCGAACGGAAAGGCCUGCUUUCCCUUGUGGAUUGCGGGUACUCGAGUGGCGAACGGGUGAGUAACACGUGAGUGAUCUGCCCCCAACUUGGGUAUAAGCCUGGGAAACUGGGUCUAAUUCCCGAUAGGACUGCAGGGUGGUGCCUGUGGUGGAAAACGAUUUUCUAGUGGUUGGGGAUGAGCUCGCGGCCUAUCAGCUAGUUGGUGGGGUAAUGGCCUACCAAGGCGGCGACGGGUAGCCGGCCUGAGAGGGUGGACGGCCACAUUGGGACUGAGAUACGGCCCAGACUCCUACGGGAGGCAGCAGUGGGGAAUAUUGCACAAUGGGCGGAAGCCUGAUGCAGCGACGCCGCGUGGGGGAUGACGGCCUUCGGGUUGUAAACUCCUUUCGACCGCGAGGAAGCCACCUGGUUGGAAGGGUGGUGACGGUAGUGGUAGAAGAAGCACCGGCUAACUACGUG